UCUCCGCUUGCGCGGGCAGUUUCUCUAGAGUCCCCGGCAUUACCCGCUGGCAACUAAAGAUAGGGGUUGCGCUCGUUAUGGGACUUAACCCGACACCUCACAGCACGAGCUGACGACGGCCAUGCAGCACCUUGCACCCUGCCCGAAGGAGGACUGGUUUCCCAAUCUGUCAGGGUGCAUUUAAGCCCAGGUAAGGUUCCUCGCGUAUCAUCGAAUUAAACCACAUGCUCCACCGCUUGUGCGGGCCCCCGUCAAUUCCUUUGAGUUUCAACCUUGCGAUCGUACUCCCCAGGUGGAUUACUUAUCACUUUCGCUUAGGCACUGACAGUAUAUCGCCAGCACCGAGUAAUCAUCGUUUACGGCGUGGACUAC
rnacentral:misc_RNA from 1 species